GAUGAAGAACGCAGCGAAAUGCGAUACGUAAUGUGAAUUGCAGAAUUCAGUGAAUCAUCGAAUCUUUGAACGCACAUUGCGCCCCUCGGUAUUCCGGGGGGCAUGCCUGUCCGAGCGUCAUUGCUGCCCUCAAGCACGGCUUGUGUGUUGGGCCUCCGUCCUCCUCCCGGGGGACGGGCCCGAAAGGCAGCGGCGGCACCGCGUCCGGUCCUCGAGCGUAUGGGGCUUCGUCACCCGCUCUUGUAGGCCCGGCCGGCGCUUGCCGACACAUCAAUCUUUUUUCCAGGUUGACCUCGGAUCAGGUAGGGAUACCCGCUGAACUUAAGCAUAUCAAUAAGCGGAGGA
rnacentral:misc_RNA from 1 species